CAGCCGCCACGGGAACACGGGGGGGGCAAGUGUUAUUCGGAAUGACUGGGUGUAAAGGGCACGUAGGCGGUUUCUUAAGUCUGAUGUGAAAGCCCCCGGCUCAACCGGGGAGGGUCAUUGGAAACUGGGAAACUUGAGUGCAGAAGAGGAGAGUGGAAUUCCACGUGUAGCGGUGAAAUGCGUAGAGAUGUGGAGGAACACCAGUGGCGAAGGCGACUCUCUGGUCUGUAACUGACGCUGAGGAGCGAAAGCGUGGGGAGCGAACAGGAUUAGAUACCCCUGUAGUCCCUGUCUCUUAUAC
rnacentral:rRNA from 1 species